rnacentral:rRNA from 1 species
UACGUAGGGAGCAAGCGUUGUUCGGAAUUACUGGGCGUAAAGGGCUCGUAGGCGGCCAACUAAGUCAGAUGUGAAAUCCCCAGGCUUAACCUGGGAAUUGCAUCCGAUACUGGAUGGCUUGAAUCCGGGAGAGGGAUGCGGAAUUCCAGGUGUAGCGGUGAAAUGCGUAGAUAUCUGGAGGAACACCGGUGGCGAAGGCGGCAUCCUGGACCGACACUGACGCUGAGGAGCGAAAGCCAGGGGAGCAAACGGG